GAUGAACGCUAGCUACAGGCUUAACACAUGCAAGUCGAACGGUCUCUUCGGAGGCAGUGGCGGACGGGUGAGUAACGCGUGGGAAUAUGCCCUUUGGUACGGAACAACUGAGGGAAACUUCAGCUAAUACCGUAUGUGCCCUUCGGGGGAAAGAUUUAUCGCCAUUGGAGUAGCCCGCGUUGGAUUAGGUAGUUGGUGGGGUAAAGGCCUACCAAGCCUACGAUCCAUAGCUGGUCUGAGAGGAUGAUCAGCCACACUGGGACUGAGACACGGCCCAGACUCCUACGGGAGGCAGCAGUAGGGAACCUUGCGCAAUGGGCGAAAGCCUGACGCAGCCAUGCCGCGUGAAUGAUGAAGGUCUUUA
rnacentral:rRNA from 1 species